CCUACGGGAGGCAGCAGUGAGGAAUAUUGGUCAAUGGACGAGAGUCUGAACCAGCCAAGUAGCGUGAAGGAUGACUGCCCUAUGGGUUGUAAACUUCUUUUAUAUGGGAAUAAAACGUUCCACGUGUGGGAUUUUGUAUGUACCAUAUGAAUAAGGAUCGGCUAACUCCGUGCCAGCAGCCGCGGUAAUACGGAGGAUCCGAGCGUUAUCCGGAUUUAUUGGGUUUAAAGGGAGCGUAGGUGGAUUGUUAAGUCAGUUGUGAAAGUUUGCGGCUCAACCGUAAAAUUGCAGGUGAAACUGGCAGUCUUGAGUACAGUAGAGGUGGGCGGAAUUCGUGGUGUAGCGGUGAAAUGCUUAGAUAUCACGAAGAACUCCGAUUGCGAAGGCAGUUCACUGGACUGCAACUGACACUGAGGCUCGAAAGUGUGGGUAUCAAACAGGAUUAGAUACCCUGGUAGUG
rnacentral:rRNA from 1 species